rnacentral:rRNA from 1 species
AACGUAGGACGCAAGCGUUAUCCGGAGUUACUGGGCGUAAAGGGCGUGUAGGCGGCUUUUCAAGUUCGUGGUGAAAGACCCCGGCUAAACCGGGGGAGGUCGAGGGAGACUGAGAAGCUAGAGGGCGGUAGAGGGACAGGGAAUUCCGGGUGUAGUGGUGAAAUGCGUAGAGAUCCGGAGGAACACCAGUGGCGAAGGCGCUGUCCUGGGCCGCAACUGACGCUGAAACGCGAAAGCAUGGGGAGCGAACAGG